rnacentral:tRNA from 1 species
GGGGGUGUAGCUCAGCUGGCAGAGCAACCGGCUUUUAACCGGCAGGUCGUGGGUUCGAGCCCCACCGCCCCCA